rnacentral:rRNA from 1 species
GACCGUCGUGAGACAGGUUAGUUUUACCCUACCGUUGACCGCACCCCAAGAGUAAUCGGGCUCAGUACGAGAGGAACCGCCCGUUCGGACAUUUGGUAACGCGCUUGGUUGAGAAGCCAGUGGCGCAAAGCUACGUCCGUCUUGCUAAUGGCUGAACGCCUCUAAGCCAGAAGCAGUACUCGAUGGAGUGCCACCUACCCGUCCGUCGUUACCCGACUACCUAUAGGGCUAUCUCAGGAGCGCUUCGACCGCAAUUCCGAACGGCCGGACGGAUAAAUCCCUUGCAGACGACUUGAACAUGCCGCCGGGUACUGUAAGUAG